rnacentral:rRNA from 1 species
GACGACGCUGGCGGCGUGCCUAACACAUGCAAGUCGAGCGGAGAUAAGCGGAUGGUAACUGAAGCUUGUCUUAGCGGCGGACGGGUGAGUAACACGUGGGCAACCUGCCUUGGAGUGGGGGAUAACACCGGGAAAUCGGUGCUAAUACCGCAUAACAUACACAUACUGCAUGGUGAGUGUAUCAAAGGAGUAAUCCGCUUUAAGAUGGGCCCGCGGCUGAUUAGCUAGUUGGUAAGGUAACGGCUUACCAAGGCGACGAUCAGUAGCCGACCUGAGAGGGCGACCGGCCACACUGGAACUGAGACACGGUCCAGACUCCUACGGGAGGCAGCAGUGGGGAAUAUUGCGCAAUGGGGGAAACCCUGACGCAGCAACGCCGCGUGGAGGAAGAAGGUCUUCGGAUUGUAAACUCCUGUCUUCUGGGAAGAUAAUGACGGUACCAGAGGAGGAAGCCACGGCUAACUACGUG